AAGAACCAAGCAUAGCCACAUGAGAGAAGAACCGGCCAGCUGAGCCAGCCAGAUUGCCUCCUCAGCUCAACACUACCCUGACACGAAAUGACGUAUCAUCGAAAGUCUGACUGGAGUUAGGGUGAUCUGUGAUGGCAAUCACAGAAUGACAUGCCGGAAGGAGAUAGUGUCCUGGGAUUUAUGGAAUCCAAGUACAUGCUUUCACUCAUUCCUGAGUGCCCAUCCACAGAUCUGUGUGUGGAGGAAGCCACGUGGGUAGGAAUCACAGCCUAUGGGCUCUUACAGUUGGGAAGUGUGUGAGGAGUAGCAAAGUCAUGCCUUUCCCCCAGUAAUCCCCUUGAUGGCAUCUCUGGCAGGAUCCUCAUUACAAUGCA
rnacentral:lncRNA from 1 species